rnacentral:lncRNA from 1 species
GGGAGGGCGCCCUCCUCCCGCCGGUUGGGAGCGUGGAGGGAAGGGAGGCGGACGGGCAAAAGCGCUUUGGAGACUCUGGAAAGUAGUGCUUUCUAACGGCAGGAUUUCAAAGUGGUAGCAGGAUUCUAGAUAGAAAAGUCAAGGAAAGCAUCUUUGAAGAGACAUCAUUUGUGAAACAUCCAAAUGAAGAGAGUGAACCUUUGAAUAUUUACGGGAAGAGUUUUCAGUCUGCAGAGUAAGGAGGUGCAAAGGCCCUGAGGCUUAUGUUUACGCCACUUGUUUUCGCAAGGGAGCUUAAGGUCUUCCUUCUGUGAAGCGAAGAGAGGAGUGUUGACGGUGCCUGUUUUUCUGUAAUGCACCUACUUGGCAAAAUGAGAUAACCAAGACUUGUCCCAAAUCAUAUAAGUAGAGGUAGAGCCAGGGCUUGACCCCAGGCCAGCAGGACUCCAGUGCUCGUUGUCUCCAGUGCAGCCCCUUGCACGAGUGCCGGCAUUCUCCCAACUUCCAGCUGACCAUCUCCGGCUUAACACCCAAGUGGAAAAGCCACAGAGGCCCCGGGUCCUGGAGGAGGCGAGGGAGAAAACUGAGCAGCUUGCGCAUGGCCUUGACUUCUUGAUUGGAGCAGCUGAAGGCAGCGCGCCCGGAGGCUUGCGAGGUUCCCAGGGGAGCGGAAGAGGCGCGUCUCCAGUGCAGUGCUGGGCAACGCCAGCAGAGGAGGAGGAUGGCGGCUACGGGGCGUGGGGCUGGGGGAUAGGACUGACACUGCUGAAGGUACAAGCUUGCAACGAGUGGUAAAUCAGCCCUGCAGACCUAAUG